AGAAGCAGCCAUCCUUUAAAGAUAGCGUAACAGCUCACUCAUCUAGAGAUUUUGCGUCGAAAAUAAUUGGGGCUAAGCAUAGUACCGAAUUUGAGGAUUUCGUUUUUCUUCGGAAGAACGGAGUGGUAGGAGAGUGUUCCAAUCUGCUGUGAAGUAGGACUCGUGAGAGCCUAUGGAGCGUUUGGAAGUAAGAAUGUUGGCACAAGUAACCGCAAUGAGGGUGAGAUCCCCUCACGUCGAAAGAUCAAGGUUUCCUUGGUAAUGUCAAUCAGCCAAGGGUUAGUCGGGCCUAAGGGAAUGGAGAAAUCCGUACUCGAUGGACAUAGGGUUAAUAUUCCCUGACUUCUGUAUUUUGUGAUGGGACGACGGAGUGUAGUAUGUAUUGCUCAUUAUUGGAUUUGAAGUUUGUUUACUAAAGAUGAGGUGUAGGAAAAUCCGCACACUGCUUUCAAUGGCAAAUCUAAGGUAAAUGAAAAGUCUUAAGCCUCGGUUUAGGACAAUAAUACAAAGCACGCUUCCAAGAAAAAUCUCUAAACUUAAAAAUAUAGAAUCCGUACCGCAAACCGACACAGGUGAUCAGGUCGAGUAGACCAAGACGAACGAGUGAGUGGUCCCCAAGGAACUCGGCAAAAAAGCAGCCGUAACUUCGGGAUAAGGCUUGCCCCCACCACUUUGGAUAUUUCUAAAUAUUUGAGAGUGUUGGGAGAGUAAGAUUUAAGUAUCGAGCAAAAAGAGACAAUGAGGAAUUAAAUUAAAGCUCUUCAUCAUUUUUUAUUUCACAGAAUUUUUUUGUGAAGUAUCUAAAGUGGUGGGGGCCGCAGCGAAAGUUUCUCUGGCAACUGUUUACCAAAAACACAGCUCCCUGCGAACUCGUAAGAGGAUGUAUAGGGGGUGACACCUGACCAAUGCCAGAAGGUCAAAUAUCGGCGGUGUAUGUCGCAAGAUGUAUGCAGACUGAUAUAAGCCCUGGUGAAUGUCGGCCGUAACUAUAACGGUCCUAAGGUAGCGAAAUACCUUGUCGGGUAAGUUCCGACGCGCACGAAUGGUGUAAUGACUGGAGAACUGUCUCGGGGACCAGCUCGGUGAAAAUACAAUGCCGGUGAAGAUGCCGGCUAAGUGCAGUUAGACGAAAAGACCCUAGAAGCUUUACUAUAACUUGAUAUUGAGCAUGUUUUUAAACUGCGUAGAAUAGAUGGGAGAGGUUUGAAGUGUACGGUUUCGGCUGUAUUCUACUCGUCAGUGAAAUACCAUUCUUUUUGAAGGCAUGUUCUAACCAAUACGGCAAAAACGUAUUGAGACAGUAUCUGGUGGAUAGUUUUACUGGGGCUGUACCCUCCUAAAAAGUAAAGGAGGGGUUUAAAGGUUAGCUAGGCGCGAAUGGAAACCGUGCCGAUAGUGUAAUGGCACAAGCUAGCUUGACUGUAAGAGGUACAUCUCAAGCAGGUGGGAAACCAGAACAUAGUGAUCCGACCAUACGCAUUAGACGCGGUGGAAGCUCAACGGAUAAAAGCUACUCUAGGGAUAACAGGCUAGUUCCGCCUAAGAGUUCAUAUCGACGGCGGAGUUCGGCACCUCGAUGUCGGCUCACCUUAGCGCGGCGGUGGAGAAGCUGCCAAGCGUAUGGCUGUUCGCCAUUUAAAAAGGUACGCGAGCUGGGUUCAGACCGUUCUUCAGUCAAUUAUUAAAUUGACUUCAGAACAGUCUGGAUCCUCAGAGGAAUAGUGAACGAAAGUGAACUACUGUUUUAAUCGAAAUUAACCAUAUUGCUGUUUGCAAUAUCACGGCGGUCGCGUUAAAUUUAUAUUAACAAAUCACGCGAUGAAGUCGGGGUUUUCGGUGGAAUCCUAUCACAUUUAUGUGAGGACAAUACCGAGAAGAAAAUUUAUUUUUUCUUUGUAGAGACUACAAACCGACCCCCUUAAAUUGGGGAAUGUAUAGUCCAAUCCCAUAAGUAAUUAUGGAAAUUGCUAAAGCCUAAGGCCUAAUGCCUAAAGCCUAGCAUGUAGAUGCGUGAGACAGGUUGGUCUCCUAUCUACUGCACUCGUUGAUUCUUGAGAAGAUUUGCUCCUAGUAGGCCCGGAAGGGCUUUGCUACUUCACGAAGAAAUUUGUGAUGAAAAAGUGGCUAAUAACGGUGAAGUCUUCAUUGAUGUUUCUGAUUUGAGAAAAAUAAUAUCAUUCGAUCCUUGAUAUUAUGAUUCGCUUGAGGACCAGAAAUAUGAUAAGAUAAUACCGUGGGAAGUCGAUUUAAAAUUAUGAAAGAAAUUGAGAAAGCUUAUAUUGCUGGUUUUCUUGAUGGAGAUGGUAGUCUAAUGCUUCAAAUUAAAAAAAGAAGUGAUAGUAAACGAGGAAUUCGUUUUAUGACAACCAUUUGUUUCUAUCAAGACACUAGACAUGAAAAGACUUUAUAUUGGAUGAAAAAGAUUUUAGGUAUUGGUUAUAUUUCCAGAAGAAAUGAUGGAAUGACUGAACUUAGAAUAAAUGGAUAUGUGCAGAUUGCAAAAAUUCUUAAAGAUUUAUUGCCUUUUGUAAAAUUCAAAAAAAUACAAGCUAAUAUUUUAUACAAAGCUUGUAAUCUUUUAUCUAAAACAAAGUUUAGUAAUCUCUCGGAAAAACAAUUAAUUAAGCUCGUUGAUUUAAUUUUAGUUAUUCAAGGUGAAAACUAUGUUACUAAAAAGAAAAAAACCAAAAAUGAAUUGUUUAAAAUUUUAAAUUUGACCCCGUAACGACUUGUUUCCGACUUUAUGUCGGAACGGACUUACAUAACACUGGAAAGUUCUAAUAUAUUUAAUAUAUGAGAACAGGUUUAUGUUUGUAAUACGCCAACGCCUUAACUUUAAUUAAAGAAAGGCGAAGAUAUAGUCUGCACUCCUAGAAAUAGGGGAGAUAUGUGACGAGAGGACCGGAGUGAACUGACCUCUGGUGUACGAGCUCUAUUGCCAAAUGGACUGCUCGGUAGCUAUGUCGGGAUUGGAUAACCUCUGAAAGCAUCUAAGAGGGAAGCCAGCUUCAAGAUUAGGAAUCGUUAAGAACCGUGAGAGAUGAUCACGUUGAUAGGCUUUAAGUGUAAGCACAGUAAUGUGUUGAGCUGAGAAGUACUAAUGUUUCGAUUCCUGUUAAGAA
rfam:Parcubacteria (Nomurabacteria) bacterium GW2011_GWF1_31_48 TR19_C0007, whole genome shotgun sequence.